ensembl:lncRNA
AUGGGUAUGAAUGCUGACAGUCACUCCAUCUCUUCUAGAACUGCUUUCCAAGCCAGAAAUUGCGGGCAACUCAUCAGUGAAGGCAGAAGGCAACACCAAAUCUGUUUGCAACCUCCUGAAAGGGAAGGCAGACUCAUACUGGUGAAAGAAAACGGGUUGCUGCUGCUGGGGAGCAACCACAUCCAGCUUGAGAACAACACCCUGCGCAUCCUGAGAGCCUUGUUAGACGACACCAGCUACUACGCUUGUGUGGCCCACAACAAAGUCAGCCUGAACGAAACCUCCUUCCUUCUCCAUGUCCAGAUUGAUUGCAGGUUUUUUCCUGAUUCCCAGGAAAAAAAAAAGAAAAGAAGGGGAGUGGGGGGAAAUGGCUCCAAACCACCAGUUUUUGGUGGCAGAUUUUUGCUUGGAGGGAGUGAGGUGGGGAUAAAUUCACUGUGGGUAUGGACAAUGUGGAUUCUCUUCUCCACAGAUGCAGCGAAUGUGGUGUUGCCCACAAUGCUGGCAUGCACUGCCAUGGGCUCACUGUCAGUUUACAGAAGAUGUGACAGCAGCAUUCUGCAGUGGAAAUGGAUACUGACAUGAAGGGUCUCCUGAUACCUGGACAGACAAGAGGAGCAGUCACUUGAGGUCUCACACUCCAUGUGCAGCUUCUCUCCUCACCUCCCCAAACCCACAGGUAUGUCAGCAGCUUAUGGGACUUGCAGAGCUUUUUCUCACAUUCAAUUUCCCUGCCAAUACUGCAGUGACAAUGAACUGCUGGAGAAUAAGGAUAUGCAUCAGAAUGACAAUGCAGGAAUGUGGGAGAGCUGAUUUCAGGUUGCUAACAGUCUGCAUGGACUGUAAUUGAGAAAGGGGCUGUCAGUGCCAAUAAUCUUUGGCAAGAGCCAUGCCCAGCACUCACCUGUCAGCAAGCCCUCAGCAGGGUGUGCCAGGAUCAUGGGCAGCACCACGUUCAGUUGUGACACAUGGUGCACUUCCUCUCUUCCUGAUACUGCAUUCAUCUCAAAGGGACAACACCUCAACAUUCCUUUGCUUUUCAAACACAUCUCCCACCCCAAAAGUGUACCCAAGACAAAUGGCCAUAAAUCACCAGCUUUUCCUGCAAGGAAAUGAAAAAUUCUAUGAGGAACUAUAUCCUCUUCCCUCUCUCAGACCAGGGGACAGAUUGGCAUGAUAUGGAGCCUAUGCUCACCUGUGCGGCCACCAUCGCCACAUACAGGCUUUGGGAUCUGUACUGCUCUUUCACAUGCUGCUGCUAGGUUCCCUGGCCCAUAGCCACAGACUGGCUAACUGGCUUCCUCUCUUUGCACAUGCUUGCCACCUGCAGAGCUGCUGUCCAUUACUUUGGUGCUCUGUGGAGAGGGUGUCUCUCUCCGUGCUUGUGCUGCUGCCUCCUGCUCACCAAAGUCAUCAGAAGCUGCUGCUGGGAGCCAGUGACACCACUUGUGUUUGCUGUGAGCAAGUAAAUGAUCUGCUCAGGCAGGUGCAUGGACUGAGGGAGGAGGUAGAAAGGUUGAGAGCCAUCAGAGAAUGCAAAAGUAAAAUAGAUUGGUGGAGCCACACCCUAAGGCAAGGGCAGAGGAAAGUGGUUGAACAAGUGAUGGAUCCCCUUCCCUCCUACCAUCAGACAGAAGGAGCAAACUUAAAGGACAAGGACGUAUGAAGGGAGGCCCCUUCUUGGAGAGGUAAGCAAAAACCCUCGCAAUCCCUUCCUCCCUCCCAGUUGCCCGUGAAUAACAGGUGUGAGGUCUUGGAACUACAGGGCCAGGUAAAUGGAGAUGGAGAGGUAAAUCUAUCUGGUGAGUCACCUAGGGCUUGUCACUCACCCCCAUGCCUUAGAACUUCCCCAAUCAAGAAGAAAAGAAGAGUAAUUGUGGUGGGUAACUCCUUUCUGAGGGGAACAGAAGGGCCCAUUUGUCAACCAGAUCCAUCCCACAGGGAAGUCUGCUGCCUACCUGGGGCUCAGAUUGGAGAUGUUAAAGAGAAACUCUCUGAUCUGGUGCAGCCCUCUGACUACUAUCCGUUGCUGGUUUUUCAGGUUGGCAGUGAUAAAAUUAUUACAAGGAGGGCAAGAGCAAUGAAGAGAGACUUCAGGGCCCUGGGACAGCUGGUUAAAGGGUCUGGAGCGCAAGUGGUGUUUGCCUCCAUACCUGUUACAAGCAAGAGUGAAGAGAUAAAUAGGAAGAUUCUGCAGAUUAAUGUAUGGCUACGUGACUGGUGCCAAAGGCAGGGUUUUGGGUUUUUGUCGUGGUUUAAACCAAGUCCCCCAACUCCCGGAGAGUUAGGAAGGAGAAUCCAAGGAAUGUAGCCCCCACGGAUUGAGAUAAGAACGGUUUAAUAGCUAAGGCAUACCACAAAAAUAAUGAUACAGCCAAUAACAAGCGAAAAGAAUACAACACUCCACCAGCCACCGACCCAUAACUCACUCCACCCUGCCCGGCCAAGCACCACGUGCUCCCUCCUCCAUUUUCCUCCAGAGCUCCACCCCUUCAGUUCUCUCUCUCUCCCAGUUGCAUCCUGGGCAUCACGUGCUAUGGUAUGGAAUACCUCAUUGGCUAGCCUGGGUCAGGUGUCCUGUCUCUCCUUCCUCCCAGCCUCCCCUCCUGUUGGGGGUCGAGCAUGGGCGCUUGAACAGGCCUACAGCAAGCUGUGAGAAAGUGAACUUAUGACCCAGGUUAAAAGAAGAAGUGUCAAGAUCAGCAAAACAGGAACACAAUAACAGGAUGCCAGUAAUUGCAAAAGCAUGAUGUAAUGCUAAGCUGAAGCGAAGGUUUGAAACCAAUCAGGAAAGGUAAAGGGGAGCGUGUAUGCCUCGUGGACAAAGCGAGGCAGCCAAUCAAGUAAUGCGUGAUUGCGUGUAAGACAGUAUAUUAAGAGCAGCCUUGUAAUCAAUAAACGGAGCAUUUUGUGAACCUACAUCCUAUCGGUGUUUUCUCCCCUCCACCUGGCCAUGGCACCCUCCUCCCUGGCAGAACACGUGCCUUGAACAAAAGGCACUUCAACAAAAACACCCUCAAAACAUGCUCACUAUCAAGCAACUAUUCCCAGCCCAAAAGUCAAAACACAGCACUGCACCAACUACAAGAAGGAGAAACAUGACUGCCACGGCUGAACCCAUGACAGUUUUUCAAUCAUGGGCUGCUAUAUGAGACACCUGGUUUGCUGGUGGC